GUGUUCGUGUGGAGAGCGUGAGAGAGUUGUUUGUGUGCAUGAAUGAAUGAAUGAAUGAAUGAAUGAAUGAAUGAAUGAAUGAAUGAAUGUUUGUGUUUUGUGAAUGUGUGUGAGAAUGAGACCUUUUUAAAAAUCUACACCAUGAUCUUAUUUGAUCUUAUCCGAGUUGUUGCCCUGCUUGGAUACAGAGAUGAUAGUAACCGACUCGGGAGCUUCAGUAGCGAUGAUCGUGAGGCUUUUUCACUCAGGGCAUCCACAGUUAAACUGUGGUAAGAAAUGAUGAAUCGAUCAGAUAUACUAGAGCAGGAAGGUGCUGGAUCUUGAUCCAAAACGCCCUGUUUGUUCACUGAGUAUAACAGCGAUUCUGAUCUCA